UGCAGUGAGGGUAUGGAAGAGCCUGUGUGUUAAGUGUUCAUCAGCCUGAUAGUCUGAGGGAAGAAACUUUCCUUUAGCCGGCUGGUGCGUAACCAGAUGCUGCGGAACCAUCUGCCUGAGGGUAGCAGACGGUUUUGUCUGUAUAAUUGUACAUGUUAAACUAAUUUAAAUUAGAAGUCCACUAAAUGUUCAUUAACUAAAGUCACAGCAAAAGGUGCUACAAUUAAAGUAGAAAUGCCAAAGUUCCACUGCUUUUUCUGUGACAGCUGUAGGGCUCGUCAGGGGAUUGAACCCAGGACCUUUCACAUCCUAAGCAAGAAUCAUACCCCUUGACCAACGAGCCCUGAAGAAAGACCCUGCUGUGCCAAAAAAAAUUCUUACUUUUUUAUAAAUACUUUUUGUUCUUGUUGUUUUUAGUAUGUGCCACCUGGGUUGUCUUUGAUGCAGUCCCUUUUAAGUUGGCUGUGCAGCACAAUCCACAAUAGCGAUCUGCUAAAAAGAUUCAGAGUGAGCUUCUGUUUAGAAUACAGUUAAAAGCAUCAGUCUGCAAUAUUAGAAAACCAGUAAAACAACUCAGGUGGACCUCUGGAAAAGCCAGGCUAUUUGCUUUAUACGAGCUUACAUGUCCUACAAAUUUAUUAAUAGGACAUACCCUAUUAAUAAACCGCCAUGUUGUGAAAUCGAAACCAAAGCAUCCAGUAAAAAUUCAUGUCUGGGGAGCCAUAUUCCAUCAGGGACCUGGACCGCUAGUUGUGUUAGAAGGAAUUAUGGACAGAUGUUUUUACGAAGACGCUAUAAUAAAAUUCAAUCAGGCUCCAUACGUAAAACAACACUUAAAGAACCAUAUCAAUUCUUCCAAGGUGUAUCCAAAAAAUCCACUUAAUGGGAGGCUCGCCAGUCCAACUCCACAAUUAGACAAUCACCGAUGGAAGUUGAGACAAUCCAAAUCCAGAAAAGAGUUCACACUUCAAUUAAUUUGAAUGCAGAGCAGAUCACAUUCAGCAACUGACUUCAAUAGAACAUCUCACCGAUGAAAAACCAGAAGAAGAUGCACAAGCAAACAAACAAAGGGGAGAAAAAAAACC